CUACUCACUUCAGCAGCAAAUAUACUAAAAUUGUGAUGAUACAGAGAAGAUUACCAUGGCCCCUACACAAAGGUGACACACAGAUUCAUGAAGCAUUCUAUAUUUUU
ensembl:snRNA U6 U6 spliceosomal RNA